GGGGAAGUCUCCCACCCAAAACAAAGCCAGUCCAUUACAUAUGUCACAAAUAAAAAGAUCUGUAUCAAACGCACCUAUAAAGGAGUGAUCUCAACUCGUCCACUGCUGAGGCCAGCCUGUGCUUUCUCUAUAGGGGUGAACAGUGGGAAGUAGUAUAGCAUGGUAGAUUAAACGAAACAUUAAGAAUGUCUGUGAAAUUGAAAUCUUGAGUAUACCUAAGGUACUUGAUGCCACAAUAAUGUAUUUAAAAUUGAGAGAGUUUUUUGGUCAAUUUUACUUUUUCUUGGGUUUGAAAUGGUCUUUAAAAAAUCUUUUGUUUUGAGAGAUAACAAUGAAGUAAGGUUGGUGCAUUCUGGUUGUAUAUAUUUUCAUAUUUUUAUCAUUAUAGACGACAAAAUCUCAUUUUAUCAUAUUUAUCAUCUGUAUCGAGUCCUGUUCAUUUGUAUCAUUGCCCACGCUGAACUAUACAAGUGUUGUAACGGGUUUCAGACGUUAUUCAUUACCGCAUGUAGCACUUUCUGCCUAACUCUGUAUCGAGCAGGGAAUUUUUUUUUAUUAUCUACAAAUUAAUUCCACUCAGGGACUACAAGGUGUGUUGGAAGGCAUUUAUUUUGAUCGUAUGCACCAUUUUCAGCAUUUUAUACAAUGUUUGAGAAAGAUUUAAAUUGCAGUAUUUAUUUUGUUUUCACGUUGAUUUAUGACAAAUUCCCAAGCAAUAAUUCUGGACAAUUGUAUUAUGGAGGACAUUUUUUCAACAGUGCUCAUCAUUUUGACUCUCUUCUCAUCAGUUUUCAUUUAGUUUAAACAUAUCAUGUGUUUGAAAAUGUGCAAGAUUUGUAUCGUUUUAGUAAGGAAAUUUUAAAUAAAUUAAAUCAAACUUUUGUUCUCUUUUAUGUUUAGAAAAUUUAGUUUUACAACUUACAAUUAAUAUUGUUUGCAAGUUGUAUGUAUUAUUAAUAAAAUUAUGUGCUUUAUUGUG
rnacentral:misc_RNA from 1 species